rnacentral:rRNA from 1 species
UCAGAUUGAACGCUGGCGGCAUGCCUUACACAUGCAAGUCGAACGGUAACAGGUCUCGGAUGCUGACGAGUGGCGAACGGGUGAGUAAUACGUCGGAACGUGCCUAGGUAGUGGGGGGAUAACUACUCGAAAGAGUAGCUAAUACCGCAUGAGAUCUACGGAUGAAAGCAGGGGAUCGCAAGACCUUGUGCUACUAGAGCGGCUGAUGGCAGAUUAGGUAGUUGGUGGGAUAAAAGCUUACCAAGCCGACGAUCUGUAGCUGGUCUGAGAGGACGAUCAGCCACACUGGAACUGAGACACGGUCCAGACUCCUACGGGAGGCAGCAGUGGGGAAUUUUGGACAAUGGGCGAAAGCCUGAUCCAGCAAUGCCGCGUGCAAGGAUGAAGGCCUUCGGGUUGUAAACUGCUUUUGUACGGAACGAAAAGCUGCGGGUUAAUACCCUGCAGUCAUGACGGUACCGUAAGAAUAAGCACCGGCUAACUACGUGCCAGCAGCUGC